rnacentral:lncRNA from 1 species
GUGAUCUGAGAAACUGUAAGCAAUUGUGUUGCUUUUCAUCUUCAGGCCUGCAUUUCUUGUAAAGCUAGGUGAUAUGAAUAUUGGCCUUCUCACAACUAAACAUAUAAACUGAUACACAUAGCUUUAACAUGCUGUUUUCUUUUGUAACAGGACAAAAUUGGAGACACUGGUUAUUUUCCCCAAGGCUUUGAAUGAAUGACAUGCUUUCGGAUACAAACAGACUCCUUUAAGAAAUCAAUGUUAACUUAGAGAGCCAAUAAAAUCCCCUUGGGAAAAGUGGACCCACAUCUUGUCUACACAAUCCCUGUGCAGGCUUUCUCACCUGUGGUAAGUAAAGAAUGUCACGUUCUGACAGGCCCAGGGGCCCCAAGUUGUCUUGGGACCUCAAGAGGGAGGAAUUCAUCCAACUCAUACAGUUAUUUGGUGGCACAAUCCCAUGCCUGGGCUCAAGACUUUUAAAAGUUUUAUCCAAGAUUCCUUAUGGAACAAAGUUCCAUCAAAGCCAAUUUAAAAAGGAACCUAUGUAACAAAUAAUUAUUCUUGCUGUGCUUUAUGCAAAUAACAGGCCAAGUAUAACAUGACUGAAGUUUAUUUUGGAAACAAAUCAGUCCUGUGAUAAUUUGUUUUUAAUAAGAAUGAGGACUGCAAAGAGAAAAAUUAUGUCUUGAGAAUUGUGGUACACCUGUAAUUUGAUUCUAGUCUCAUCAGUUGUUUUUGAGUUUUUUUCCUCUGCAAGUUAGACUGACUCUGCUUAUUCCUGUGAACCAACCAGUGAUCCAUGGCUGAGGCUCAGAAGAAACAAGAGGGAUGGGCCAUCAAUCACCAGAUGAUCCUCAGUGAGGGAUAAUAUCCUCUCAAUAUUUGAGUCACACUUCUACAGAGGACCCCUCAACUGCCCAUCUGUGGGACACGACAGAGGCAAAAUCCUGCCCCUGUCUCUCUCGGACCUGGCUGGAUACUGCUUUCACUAACCCACGAAGCAACCAUGCCCUAACAGCUAGCAAGAGAAUAAGACCCACAGAACAACCACCACCACCUCUCUGUCAGCAGGAAGCAGUUACAAAAGACUGACCUUUCCCAACAAAUUGGGUCUUGAACUCUUGAGGGGGGAAAUGUUAGAGUAGGUAGUUAGGCAGACAUGAGCAGGGCAGGAGAGGUCCCUGCCCAACCCAGGAAUGUCAGGUGACUAUCAGGUUAUGGUCAGGUGGUUGUUAUCUGUCUUGCUAAAAUAAUAAUUGGCUGCAGCUGGUGCCAGGGAACAGUAUCUCCCAAUAGAUGAAAAACAACUGAAGUUGAUGACCAGCAGCUUCCCAAUAAGAUCUCAGGAGUUGGGUGAGUGGGCUCAAGCAUGCACACUAAGAGCUGAAUGGCAGUGUUAACAGGUAAAUGACCUUCUUCUAGGAACGCCUGACUGGUAUGAGAAAAAUGCCUCAACUAAGCCUGUGUACAACUUCAGCAAACACACUGUGCUUGCAGCCCCUCCCAAGUGCUGGCAGGCCACUGAGCAUGCAGACAGCCUACCCCAAAAGAAGUAACGGGGAGAAGUAACACAACCCCAGAAGCAUCUCAAUACAUAAAACUUCAAGUUAAAGAUCAAACAGCACACUUGAAUCUCUCAAGUCACCUGCUUGGCUCUCUUCUAAGUGUACCUUACUUUCUUUUGUUCCUGCUCUAAAACUUUUUAAUAAACUUUCCUGCUCUAAAACUUGC